AUUGAACGCUGGCGGCAGGCCUAACACAUGCAAGUCGAGCGGCAGCGGGUCCUUCGGGAUGCCGGCGAGCGGCGGACGGGCGAGUAAUGCCUAGGAAUCUGCCCGGCAGUGGGGGAUAACGUUCGGAAACGGACCCUAAUACCGCAUAACGUCGCCAGACCAAAGUGGGGGACCGUCGCGCAUCAUCCCCUCAGAUGUGCCCAGAUGGGAUUAGCUAGUAGGUGGGGUAACGGCUCACCUAGGAGACGAUCCCUAUCUGGUCUGAGAGGAGGACCAGCCACAAUGGAACUGAGACACGGUCAGGACUCCUACGGGAGGCAGCAGUUGGGAAUAUUGGACAAUGGGCUCAAGCCUGAUCCAGCCAUGCCGCGUGUGUGAAGAAGGCCUUCGGGUUGUAAAGCAAUUUCAGCGAGGAGGAAGGGAUUGUAGUUAAUAGCGGCAAUUUUUGACGUUACUCGCAGAAGAAGCACCGGCUAACUCUGUGCCAGCAGCCGCGGUAACAC
rnacentral:rRNA from 1 species